GAUAAAGAUGACCCAAAAGAGCGGAGCUUCGUACUGACGACGAAACUCCCAGGCACUGGAUCUGUCACACAUCUGUGGGUUUUCAGUUGGACCUGUGCUAUAGUCAAGAGUGUCCUGAAAACAGAAGAAGGCUGAGUAUCACCACGAUCACCUGAAACCUGCAUGUGUGCAGGAGAACCGCGAGUAACGAUUCUCAGUUUUGAUAGUAGUGUGGUCCAGAAGUCUUGUCACGACAGAUGUUUUCUACUGAGGACAGGUUGUUGAAGAAAGUGGUAGACGGUGAGGUUUCACUGACAAACUGUCAAAAACACAUCCUCAGGUCUGAAACUGUGGGUACUUGAUAGAACGUGGGAACAGAAGUCAAGUUCAUCUGUGGACCAAAAUAGAGACUGAAGGCAUGCCCUCCUGCAGUCUACUGUAGGCUGAGGUCAGACCCAGGGUGAAGUGGGUCAUUUAAAACACAUAUGACCAUCAUUGUUUUUAUUAUGUCAAUUUUCUUUUAUUCACAUUCAUUUUAAUAUACAGCCAAAUGUUCUGAACUACUGUUUUUUUUUUUGUCCACUGUGCCUUACAGGCAUGCUAUUGGCCGGUUGCCCUUUGAGGGCGUGGCCAACCUGCUGCUGACCAAGCUGUACACCUGAGGCUCAUAUUGGGUGUUUUAGUGCGUCUCUUAAUCUGUGGCUAACGUCAGUCACGGUUUGAGGUCUUUGAUCUGAUCGUUCUUCUUGGUCAGGAUUUCCUUCAUGUUGCGAUAGGCAGCAGUCUCCUGGAACUUCUUCUCCAGCUCCUAAACAC